UCCCUGUGAUGAGACCAAGGCGAAUGUGAGCUCACUGGAUAAGAAUCUGAGCUCUCCUGUGUUCCUAUUGGCCGGUAAUCUUGGUUGAGCAAUGGAGUUAGGCUGCUUUGCUGUAAGGGCCUGCCUACAUUAAACAAGCCCCUCUUCCUCUUAAGUUCUUCCUUAGAGAUAUUAAUGAAAGAGAGAUGGGUAGGGUGGUCAUAGUGAGUUUGUGUGUGUGUGAGAGAGUGUGAGAGAGAGAAAAUGCAGGUCGAGACUCGGUUCUCUAUAAUGUCUAGUGGGCUAUGAGCUUGUUCUUUGGAAAUCUGAGGGCA